rnacentral:rRNA from 1 species
AAUGAACGCUAGCGGCAGGCUUAAUACAUGCAAGUCGAGGGGCAGCGCAGUGUAGCAAUACAUGGGCGGCGACCGGCAAACGGGUGCGGAACACGUACGCAACUUUCCUUCAACUGGGGAAUAGCCAAGGGAAACUUUGAUUAAUACCCCAUAGUAUAUUGAAAAGGCAUCUUUUUAAUAUUAAAGCUCAGGCGGUUGAAGAUGGGCGUGCGUCUGAUUAGGUAGUUGGUGAGGUAAUGGCUCACCAAGCCGACGAUCAGUAACUGGUGUGAGAGCACGACCAGUCACACGGGCACUGAGACACGGGCCCGACUCCUACGGGAGGCAGCAGUAAGGAAUAUUGGGCAAUGGACGCAAGUCUGACCCAGCCAUGCCGCGUGGAGGAUGAAGAUCUUCGGGUCGUAAACUCCUUUCGAUCGGGACGAACGGCUGGUGGUCUAACACACCAUCAGAUUGACGGUACCGAGAGAAGAAGCCCCGGCUAACUCCGUGCCAGCCGCCGCAGUAAUAC